GACGAACGCUGGCGGCAUGCCUAACACAUGCAAGUCUAGGGGUAGCAAUACCACUGGCGCACGGGUGAGUAACACGUAGGUUAUCUGCCCCCAUCACAGACAUAACCCCGGGAAACCGGGGCUAAUAUCUGAUGAGGUCGCGAGAUCAAAGCUUCGGCGGAUGGGGAUGAGCCUGCGGCUGAUUAGCUAGUUGGUGAGGUAAUGGCUCACCAAGGCGACGAUCAGUAGCUGGUCUGAGAGGACGAACAGCCACACUGGAACUGAGACACGGUCCAGACUCCUACGGGAGGCAGCAGUGAGGAAUAUUGGUCAAUGGGAGCAAUCCUGAACCAGCAAUGCCGCGUGUGGGAUGACAGGGCUUCGCCUUGUAAACCACUGUCGGACGGGACGAAAGGAGGCCUCGGGGCCUCUGGGGACGGUACCGGUCAAAGGAAGGGUCGGCUAACUACGUGCCAGCAGCCGCGGUAAU
rnacentral:rRNA from 1 species